rnacentral:misc_RNA from 1 species
GAUGAAGAACGCAGCGAAAUGCGAUAAGUAAUGUGAAUUGCAGAAUUCAGUGAAUCAUCGAAUCUUUGAACGCACAUUGCGCCCGCCAGUAUUCUGGCGGGCAUGCCUGUUCGAGCGUCAUUUCAACCCUCAAGCCCCAGCGGCCUGGUGUUGGGGACCGGCGACCUCGCCCGAGCCCGCCCUCCGGGGCGCGUGCCCGGUGCGUCCGCCGCCCCCGAAAUGAAUUGGCGGCCUCGUCGCGGCCUCCUCUGCGUAGUAGCACAACCUCGCAAGCGGGAGCGCGACGCGGCCACUGCCGUAAAACGCCCAACUUUUUUAGAGCUGACCUCGGAUCAGGUAGGAAUACCCGCUGAACUUAAGCAUAUCAAUAAGCGGAGGA